UCAUCUUAGCAUAAAAUUAUAUGAAACGUAGCUGCUCUUUAUGUGAGCUGUUGGUAACAGUGUGCAUAAGUGGCGCAGUAAACUUGACAUUGUUCUCUCUUCUGGCUGCCAUUAUCAGUCUCACACAAUUUAGUUUACCCUUUUUAGGUAAAUGUAAAGUUUUUCCUUUUAUUAUUUUAGCAAAUAUUAGUGCUAUAAGAUGUAGAAACGCUUGAUGUUUAUUGGAUCUCAUUUAGUCACGUGCGCCGUAAUAACCCGGAAGGAUCGAUCAAUGAAAGACAAUCAACAAAAGAAAACACAGAUUCAACAUAAAAUCUUCAUUAAAUCUUUGUAUUUAACAAUUUUAUUAGACAACUUGGCAAAUUUUGGAACAGCAUUAACACAAUGGUGAGGCUAAUCUAGCUAAUCUAAUGCUAGCGCUAGUGUUUUAGAAACUUCUGGCUAUCAUAUACUACAUGUACGCUAGUACACAAAAUUGCACUUCUAUAUACUUUAAAUUGUGCUUCUCUUUAACAUGGUAAUAUGUAAAUGAAAGUUGUAAUAAGAUAGUAAUAAUGUUUUUCAUGUUUAAAAAAAGGGUAACGCUUGUUGCAAACGCACUUCCGGGUUGGAUGAAAACAUUGCUGAUGAAAAUUCAAGUCAAGCUCGAAUUCCCAUCCAGUGCGAGGAUAAUCCCGAGGGUCAAUAUGGACUGAUGGUGUUCGACAGGGAAGCUUUUCCUAUGGAGAGAGUCCUCUGUCCAGCCGGAGCAGAAGAUCUUCCUGAAGCACAAGAAAGAAAACAGCAGUAGAUCAUCUCUACGCAGAUUCAGAAAUUUGGGCAUCUGCUUUAGGAGCUGCUUUAAUCUCUAUUGAUUGGGAAAUUGUUAAAAAAAAACACCUUUAUUUGACAGUGAUGUUUGAUACAUGAUGUUUUAAAAACAUUAAAAAGAAACAUGUAUGA